AUUGAACGCUGGCGGCAGGCCUAACACAUGCAAGUCGAGCGAGCGGCGGACGGGUGAGUAAUGUAUGGGGACUGCCCGAUAGAGGGGGAUAACUACUUGGAACGGUAGCUAAUACCGCAUACUAUCGGAUAACCCAUAUGGGAUUAGCUAGUAGGUGAGGUAACGGCUCACCUAGGCGACGAUCCCUAGCGGGGCUGAGAGGAUGAUCAGCCACACUGGGACUGAGACACGGCCCAGACUCCUACGGAGGCAGCAGUGGGGAAUAUUGCACAAUGGGCGCAAGCCUGAUGCAGCCAUGCCGCGUGUAUGAAGAAGGCCUUAGGGUUGUAAAGUACUGUCAGUCGGGAGGCGUUACCGACAGAAGAAGCACCGGCUAACUCCGUGCCAGCCGCCGCGGUAAUAC
rnacentral:rRNA from 1 species